UACGGAGGGUGCGAGCGUUGUCCGGAAUCAUUGGGCGUAAAGGGCGCGUAGGUGGCGGGGCAAGCGUGCGGUGAAAGCUCGGGGCUCAACCCCGAGUCGGCCGUGCGAACUGCUUUGCUGGAGCACUGUAGAGGCAGGCGGAAUUCCGGGUGUAGCGGUGGAAUGCGUAGAGAUCCGGAAGAACACCGGUGGCGAAGGCGGCCUGCUGGGCAGUGGCUGACACUGAGGCGCGACAGCGUGGGGAGCAAACAGG
rnacentral:rRNA from 1 species